GACUGUAGUUGUUGCAGGUAAUCCUUAGGUCGCUGGUUCGAAUCCGGCAGGUCGGAUUUUUUAUU
rnacentral:sRNA from 1 species